rnacentral:rRNA from 1 species
GGGUAGAGGGAAUUCCCAGUGUAGCGGUGAAAUGCGUAGAUAUUGGGAAGAACACCAGUGGCGAAGGCGCUCUACUGGGCCGUAACUGACGCUGAGGGACGAAAGCUAGGGGAGCGAAAGGGAUUAGAUACCCCUGUAGUCCUAGCUGUAAACGAUGGAUACUAGGUGUUGGACGUAUCGACCCGUUCAGUACCGCAGCCAACGCGAUAAGUAUCCCGCCUGGGGAGUACGCACGCAAGUGUGAAACUCAAAGGAAUUGACGGGGGCCCGCACAAGCGGUGGAGUAUGUGGUUUAAUUCGAUGCAACGCGAAGAACCUUACCAGGGCUUGACAUCCCUCGAAUCCUCUUGAAAGGGAGGAGUSCCUUCGGGAGCGAGGAGACAGGUGGUGCAUGGCUGUCGUCAGCUCGUGUCGUGAGAUGUUGGGUUAAGUCCCGCAACGAGCGCAACCCACGUCCUUAGUUGCCAUCAUUGAGUUGGGCACUCUGGGGAGACUGCCGGGGACAACUCGGAGGAAGGUGUGGAUGACGUCAAGUCAUCAUGCCCCUUACGUUCUGGGCUACACACGUACUACAAUGCUUCGGACAAAGAGCAGCCAAUCGGCGACGAUGAGCUAAUCUCAUAAACCGAGGCACAGUUCAGAUUGCAGGCUGCAACUCGCCUGCAUGAAGGAGGAAUCGCUAGUAAUCGCCGG